rnacentral:rRNA from 1 species
GAUGAACGCUAGCGGCAGGCCUAACACAUGCAAGUCGCGGGGCAGCGCGGUGCAGCAAUGCACUGGCGGCGACCGGCGCACGGGUGCGUAACGCGUAUGCAACCUGCCCAUUCCCGGGGGAUAGCCCGCCGAAAGGCGGAUUAAUACCCCAUGGACCCUUAGCCCCGCAUGGGGCGGAGGGUAAAGCUCCGGCGGGAAUGGAUGGGCAUGCGUGCCAUUAGCUGGUUGGUGGGGUAACGGCCCACCAAGGCUACGAUGGCUAGGGGGUCUGGGAGGAUGAUCCCCCACACUGGUACUGAGACACGGACCAGACUCCUACGGGAGGCAGCAGUGAGGAAUAUUGGUCAAUGGGCGGAAGCCUGAACCAGCCAUGCCGCGUGCAGGACGACGGCCCUACGGGUUGUAAACUGCUUUUCCGGGGAAGAAUAACCCCCUGCGGGGGGAUGCCGGUACCCCGGGAAUAAGGAUCGGCUAACUCCGUGCCAGCAGCCGCGGUAAACGUAGCGUG